rnacentral:rRNA from 1 species
GAAUUGUUCGCAAUGGGCGCAAGCCUGACGACGCAACGCCGCGUGGAGGAUGAAGGUCUUCGGAUUGUAAACUCCUGUUGCUCGGGAAGAACGGCCCCAACCCAAUCCGUUGGACUGUGACGGUCCCGGGUGAGGAAGCCCCGGCUAACCCUGUGCCAGCAGCCGCGGUAAUACAGAGGGGGCAAGCGUGGUUCGGAAUUACUGGGCGUAAAGGGCGCGUAGGCGGCCUGUUAAGUCGAACGUGAAAUCCCCGGGCUCAACCCGGGAACUGCGUCCGAUACUGGCAGGCUCGAAUCCGGGAGAGGGAUGUGGAAUUCCAGGUGUAGCGGUGAAAUGCGUAGAUAUCUGGAGGAACACCGGUGGCGAAGGCGGCAUCCUGGACCGGUAUUGACGCUGAGGCGCGAAAGCCAGGGGAGCAAACGGG